ACUCCCAGCUGAAGUUGGAGAGCUCUACCCAGAGUCAAUCCAUUGGGGCGGUGCGCUGGAAUCUUCCUGAAGAGGACCUCCAGGCCCACAGCUCAGCCCCUACCAGCCCCCGCAAGAGCAGUGCCCCCUCCACACAUCGCUCAUCGCAACACCCUCAUCAGAAUGGCAUGAAGAACCUGCGCAGUCUACAGGAAUGUGUCCGCUUCAUCAACCACUGGAAGGAGCAGGUGGCCCAAGUCUGCAAGAGUGGCAGUGAUGCGGGGAAGGGCACCAGUAAAGGAGAGACCCCUGUGGAACUGAAAACAGAACACAGUCUGGAAGAGAGCAGGAAACUCAUUGUGCUGUGGGCCAAUGAGCUCAACA